rnacentral:rRNA from 1 species
AAUAGAUACCCGGGUAGUCCACGCCGUAAACGAUGAAUACUAGGUGUCGGAGGGUACCACCUUCGGUGCCGCAGCAAACGCAAUAAGUAUUCCGCCUGGGGAGUACGGUCGCAAGAUUAAAACUCAAAGGAAUUGACGGGGACCCGCACAAGCAGCGGAGCAUGUGGUUUAAUUCGAAGCAACGCGAAGAACCUUACCUAGACUUGACAUCUCCUGAUUUACUCGUAACGGAGGAAGCCCUUCGGGGCAGGAAGACAGGUGGUGCAUGGUUGUCGUCAGCUCGUGUCGUGAGAUGUUGGGUUAAGUCCCGCAACGAGCGCAACCCUUAUUGUUAGUUGCUACCAUUAAGUUGAGCACUCUAACGAGACUGCCGCGGUUAACGUGGAGGAAGGUGGGGAUGACGUCAAAUCAUCAUGCCCCUUAUGUCUAGGGCUACACACGUGCUACAAUGGCCGGUACAAUAAGAUGCAAUCCCGUGAGGGGGAGCUAAACUCAAAAGCCGGUCCCAGUUCGGAUUGUAGGCUGAAACUCGCCUACAUGAAGUUGG